rnacentral:rRNA from 1 species
ACGGCCAUACCAUGCUGAAUAUACCGGUUCUCGUUAGAUCACCGAAGUCAAGCAACAUUGGGCGCGGUCAGUACUUGGGUGGGUGACCACCUGGGAACACCACGUGCCGUU